UACGUAGGCAGCGAGCGUUGUUCGGAGUUACUGGGCGUAAAGGGUGUGUAGGCGGUUGUUUAAGUUUGGUGUGAAAUCUCCCGGCUCAACUGGGAGGGUGCGCCGAAUACUGAAUGACUAGAGUGCGGGAGAGGAAAGUGGAAUUCCUGGUGUAGCGGUGAAAUGCGUAGAUAUCAGGAGGAACACCGGUGGUGUAGACGGCUUUCUGGACCGUAACUGACGCCGAGACACGAAAGCGUGGGUAGCAAACAGG
rnacentral:rRNA from 1 species